rnacentral:sRNA from 1 species
UAGUGAAGGUAAAGAGCAGGGCAGUGGUCUUGGGUAAAGAGGAGGAUAGUGAGUAGAAUGGGACGAGUAGAGGGAGGGAGGAUACUGUCAGAAUUUAUAGUAAGAUAGAAGAAUAAAUACAAAUACAAAAUAGGAAAAGGGGUCCUAUUGUUUCCUAUGAUUAGUUUCUUUCCAUUUACAGUCUCCUUUCUGUCUGUAUAUUUGCAUGCAUCUUUAUAUACAUAAAUUCUGUGUGUGAGAGCAAACUCUUCCAUCCAUGGCAUGUAAGACCUGAACUAUGUUCAUGAGGGAAAAUGAGUAGAUUUGUCUUUCUAGACCUUGCUUGUUUACCAGUAUGAAUGACUUCUAUUUGCUUCACAUAGAAAGCAAGUCUCCAUUUGAAAUCAUGAUUGAUGUGACUUAUGAAAAGCAAUUGACAAACAAGAGUGGCAGGUGAUGAAACAAACCUACCGGGAAAGGGAAAAGAGUCACAAGCAUUGGCACCAAAUCCCCAAUGCUGACUACAAAUGUCACUGGAGACGACACCUUACUCACACCACUGUGGCUAAUCUCAGACUGCUCCCUGCUCUUUGCACGUUCUGUGUUCAAACGACCCUUCUAUUCUUUGUCCUUCCUCUAUGGAGGAGAAGGUGAACAAUAUUAGUUCCUUUAUCUUUUAGCACUCUGAUAUAUUUGUACAUUGCUUUCUUUAUUGUGUUUUGUUUGCAGGGAACAGCAGUACUAACAUCACUUACAUCAGUGCUGCAUGACAGUAAGGAAUUCCCCAACCCAGAGAUGUUUGACCCAGGUCACUUUCUAGAUGAGAAUGGAAACUUUAAGAAAAGUGACUACUUCAUGCCUUUCUCAGCAGGAAAACGGAAAUGUGUGGGAGAGGGCCUUGCCAGUAUGGAGCUGUUUUUGUUCCUGACCACCAUUUUACAGAAUUUCAAACUGAAAUCUCUGUCUGAUCCAAAGGACAUCGAUAUAAACUCAAUACGUUCUGAGUUUUCAUCAAUUCCUCCAACUUUCCAGCUGUGCUUCAUUCCUGUCUAAUGAAGACCUAAAAGCAGAAAUGAAGAUGAGGAAACAUUCUAUUGUGAUGUCUUCUGACAUCACCCACAGAAAUUUCUAUUUACAACUGUCCUAGAAAUACCACUAUGUACUUUCUUCUUCCCACAGCUUAUGUCUUCUAAUUGCCCAAAGAUAACAAUUCUACAUUAUACAGUUUCUGAAGUUAAUGUAAAAGAUUCUGAGAAAAAAAAGUCAAUUCAAAUAAAAAAAGUUCUAAUGUGA